rnacentral:rRNA from 1 species
CACGUGUAGCAGUGAAAUGCGUAGAGAUGUGGAGGAAUACCGAUGGCGAAGGCAGCCUCCUGGGAUAACACUGACGUUCAUGCCCGAAAGCGUGGGUAGCAAACAGGAUUAGAUACCCUGGUAGUNCACGCCCUAAACGAUGUCAAUUAGCUGUUGGGCAGCAUGACUGCUUAGUAGCGAAGCUAACGCGUGAAAUCGACCGCCUGGGGAGUACGGUCGCAAGAUUAAAACUCAAAGGAAUUGACGGGGACCCGCACAAGCGGUGGAUGAUAUGGAUUAAUUCGAUGCAACGCGAAGAACCUUACCUGGUCUUGACAUGUACGGAACCCUCCAGAGACGGAGGGGUGCCUUCGGGAGCCGUAACACAGGUGCUGCAUGGCUGUCGUCAGCUCGUGUCGUGAGAUGUUGGGUUAAGNNNNNCANCGAGCGCAACCCUUGUCAUUAGUUGCCAUCAUUAAGUUGGGCACUCUAAUGAGACUGCCGGUGACAAGCCGGAGGAAGGUGGGGAUGACGUCAAGUCCUCAUGGCCCUUAUGACCAGGGCUUCACACGUCAUACAAUGGUCGGUACAGAGGGUAGCCAAGCCGCGAGGUGGAGCCAAUCUCACAAAACCGAUCGUAGUCCGGAUUGCACUCUGC